GACGAACGCUGGCGGCGUGCUUAACACAUGCAAGUCGAACGGAAAGGCCCUGCUUUUGUGGGGUGCUCGAGUGGCGAACGGGUGAGUAACACGUGAGUAACCUGCCCUUGACUUUGGGAUAACUUCAGGAAACUGGGGCUAAUCCCGGAUAGGAGCUCCUGCUGCAUGGUGGGGGUUGGAAAGUUUCGGCGGUCGGGGUUGGACUCGCGGCUUAUCAGCUUGUUGGUGGGGUAGUGGCUUACCAAGGCUUUGACGGGUAGCCGGCCUGAGAGGGUGACCGGCCACAUUGGGACUGAGAUACGGCCCAGACUCCUACGGGAGGCAGCAGUGGGGAAUAUUGCACAAUGGGCGGAAGCCUGAUGCAGCAACGCCGCGUGCGGGAUGACGGCCUUCGGGUUGUAAACCGCUUUCGCCUGUGACGAAGCUUGAGUGACGGUAAUGGGUAAAGAAGCACCGGCUAACUACGUG
rnacentral:rRNA from 1 species